GUUUUAAUAUUUGCUAUUUAACCUUCAUUAAUUAUAUCUUUUUAAAUAAUAGUCCCCAGUCUAUUUAAAUAUGUUUUAUAUUCCUUAUUUCCCUCCCUGCCUUUUCAUUUUCAUUUUUCAAUCUUCUCUCUGACGCAUCUUUGUGGCUUCUCUCUCGCGAUUGUUUUGAAUCUUCUCUCUCGCGCAUCUUUGUGGCUUCUCUCUCGCGAUUGUUUUCAAUCUUCUCUCUCGCGCAUCUUUGGGUCUGUUUUGUCCCUACCAAAAGGUCCAUCAAAGACGCUCGAUCAAAGACGAUGGAUGAGUUUAAAGAAAUGUGUAAUUUGAAUGAAAAUGGUUCUAUUGAUUGUAACCGUAGUGAGGUUGAAAAAUCAAUUAAUAUAGAUAAUGAAAUUGAUGAAGAGGUUUAUUUAGAAGCUGAAGGUAAUGAAGAUGUAUACAAAAGUUAUCUUGAUCUGACGGCAGAUGAUAUUUUUGGAUUGGAGUUUGCAAGUGAAAAUGCUGCUUAUAAAUUUUAUUUCACUUAUGCUAAGUGUCAUGGUUUUGGGAUCAGAAGAGAUGAGGUAAGUUAUGAUGAUAAGCACAAUAUUGUGAUGCGACAAUAUUUAUGCAACAAAGCUGGAUUAAGAGACAAAAAGCAUUUGAUGAGAGAUGAUAGGAAAAAAGAACAUAGACCACUAUCUCGUACAGAUUGCAAAGCAAAGUUACGUGUGCGUUUGGAUCAAAAAACCUGUAAAUUUAAGGUUGUUUCAUUUGAGGAAGGUCAUAAUCAUAAUCUAUGUGAUUCAAAUUUUGUGCAAUUAAUCCGUACGUACCGUGGUUUGAGUUUUGCAGACAAAGUUCAGGUUGAUUCAUUAUGAUAGACUAUGGCCAAGGCCAAGGAAUCCAAGAGGUGAUAUCCUAAAAGAACCAAGAGGAAUGGGAUGAUC